rnacentral:rRNA from 1 species
AGUGAGUGGCGAACGGGUGAGUAACACGUGGACAACCUGCCUCAAGGCUGGGGAUAACAUUUGGAAACAGAUGCUAAUACCGAAUAAAACUUAGUGUCGCAUGACAAAAAGUUAAAAGGCGCUUCGGCGUCACCUAGAGAUGGAUCCGCGGUGCAUUAGUUAGUUGGUGGGGUAAAGGCCUACCAAGACAAUGAUGCAUAGCCGAGUUGAGAGACUGAUCGGCCACAUUGGGACUGAGACACGGCCCAAACUCCUACGGGAGGCUGCAGUAGGGAAUCUUCCACAAUGGGCGAAAGCCUGAUGGAGCAACGCCGCGUGUGUGAUGAAGGCUUUCGGGUCGUAAAGCACUGUUGUAUGGGAAGAACAGCUAGAAUAGGAAAUGAUUUUAGUUUGACGGUACCAUACCAGAAAGGGACGGCUAAAUACGUGCCAGCAGCCGCGGUAAUACGUAUGUCCCGAGCGUUAUCCGGAUUUAUUGGGCGUAAAGCGAGCGCAGACGGUUUAUUAAGUCUGAUGUGAAAGCCCGGAGCUCAACUCCGGAAUGGCAUUGGAAACUGGUUAACUUGAGUGCAGUAGAGGUAAGUGGAACUCCAUGUGUAGCGGUGGAAUGCGUAGAUAUAUGGAAGAACACCAGUGGCGAAGGCGGCUUACUGGACUGCAACUGACGUUGAGGCUCGAAAGUGUGGGUAGCAAACAGGAUUAGAUA